AGAGAAGAGAGAGAGAAGAGAAGAGCGGACACAUUUCGUUUCUUUUUCGUUUCUUUUUUUGCUUUUUUUUCUCAUUUCCACGGACGUUUCCAUUAUUCCGCUUUUCUUUUUUGAAAAGCCAAACA
rnacentral:ribozyme from 1 species